AAAAAUAAGAUAUAUAAAUUAUACUUAUUGUUUUUGUAAAAAAAAAAUCAAUAAGCAAUAUAAGUAUGUAAAGGAAUUAUUAUGCAAUUCUAGCUAUGUAUUAAGGAGAGCAAAUUUGAUAUAAAAAGGAAUAUUUUAUAUUCCUAGUUAAUAAGCUCUAGAAUAAAUUUAAUAAUAAACGAAGUGAAGUGAAAUAUCUCAGUAACUUCAGGAAAAGAAAUCAAAAGAGAUUCUAUGAAUAGCGUGAGCAAAAGUAGAUAAGUCUAUUAAGUAAAAUGGUAUAUAAACUGUUUGAAUGGGGAACCUUCCUCAAAGACUAAAUAUGAUACAUAAGCGAUAGAUGAUGGGCCGUGAGGUAAUUAGAAGUUAGUAGUAAUUUUAUAAGCAGUUCGAAUAGACUUAAUUUAAGCUAAAGAACGUACCUUUUGCAUAAUGGGUCACCAAGUUAACAUUAGAUGCGAGAUAAUAUCGUAGUUAAACCAAACAUUAAAAAAAUGAUAAGUGUCUAAAGUUAGACCCGAAGCCUAGUGAUUUUACUAUGGUCAGGAUUAUAAAAGUCCGAACGGGUGAUUGUAGCAAAAAUCUCCGAAGAACCGUGGUAGGUAUAGUGAAAGACAAUACUGACUAGGAUAGCUGGUUUUCUGCGAAACCUAUAACAGUAGGCAAUUUAAGUAAAUAUCUUAGCAGGUACAGAAUUUAAUCUCAGGCAAUUUAUUGCACAAAUUGGGGAAUCGUGAAGAUUUUAUCAGUGAGUAUGUAGACUCGGAAUGGUAAAGAUAUAUCUUGAAUGAUCAGACAUAGAAUGAUAAGGUUGUAUGUCAAAAGGGAAACAGCCCAGAACAAGAGUUAAGGUUCCUAAAUUAUUUGUUGAGUGAAAUUAAGAAAGUUUUUAUUAAAGUCGACAAGGAGAUAGGCUUAGAAGCAGCCAUAAUUUUAUGACCUCGUAACAGAGCGCUUGUUAAGUUAUAAAAGCAUCGAAAAUAUAACGGAUCUAAACAAUAUACCGAAACCUUGUCCAUAAAUUAAUGUAGUUUACUUUUCAAAAACGACAAAUUUAUGGGGUAGCAGAACGUUGAAUUAAACUAAAUAACAAGUUUAUAAAUUUGUUAUGUUAAUUCAAGUGAGAAUGGUGACAUGAGUAACGAAAAGAAUAGUAGAUGAUAUUAUAAAACUACAUUAAAUAUUUGAUCUUAUUUAAUGUUUAAAGAUCUACUAUCCGCCUAAAGCUUAUGGUUAGAAUUAAGUAACGGCCUCUAAGCUUUUUUAUCUAAAGAUUGAAGCGAUGAGAAAAUCUUUUAUUAUAAGACGACAUUUAUCUAGUGAAAAAUGUACAGGAAAUAUUAUAAUAUAGUAACCGUACCUAGAAACCGACUAUGGUAAGCUAGUAGAGUAUACGAAGGCGUAAUUGAGAUAACAAUCAUAAAGGAACUCGGCAAAUUGACUAUCGUAACUUCGGGAUAAGUAGGGCUCAUUAUUCUUGAUUAAUAUCAGGUAAAGAGGAAGAAACAUAAAAUAAUGUUGUACGACUGUUUAAUUAAAACACAGCACUUUGCUUAAAGAUUAAAAAUCUAUGUAUAAAGUGUGAUAUCUGCCCGGUGCCGGCUGGCUAACAGAGAUAAUUGAAUACAUUACUAUUUGAUGUCAACGGAAGCCCCGGUUAAAGGCGGCCUUAACGUGAGGGUCCUAAGGUAGCGAAAUGCCUUGGCCGUUAAAUGCGGUCUUGCAUGAAUGGUGUAACGAUACAACAGCUGUCUCUAUGAUUGACUCAGUGAAAUUGGAAUAGCUGUGCAGAUACAGCUUACCUCUAGUUAGACGAGAAGACCCUAUGCAGCUUUACUGUCACUAAUUAUAGAUUUUGAUGAAAAAUUUUCAGACUAAAAGGUUGUUGAUUAAAUAUUCAUGAGAAACCUUUAUUUUUAUUCUUCAUUUGAAUGAAUUGAUAUACCUUUAGUAUAUCAUCCUAGUUCAACUUAGUUCUUAGUUUACUAAGAAAUAGGUACCCUUGGAAAGGAACUAUGACUAGGGGACAGUUUAUGUGGGGCACAGACCCUGUAAAGAGUAAACAGGUGUGUCUAAUAAUUAUUUUUAUUUUGUUUGCUAUUUUUAUAUAAAUCAUAUUCACUUUGAUAUAAUUGUAUUGUGUACGGCUUUAAUAAAGCUUGUUAUACAAUUAUAUUUAUAUUGAAAAUUUAGGUAAGAUUUUGACUAUACUGAAAUUAGAGAUAAUUUAAAAUUUUAUGUAAUUAGCGCUAGCGUUACUAAAAUUUUAUAGUUACUAGGGCUGACUAGCUUACGCUAGCACAUAGUAAUUAUGUUUUUAAUAUCUAAAAAGCUCAACGGCUUAAUCUUGCCUUACUGUUUGAUUAUCGACAAAUCUUACAGUUGCGUAAGCAGGGCAUAGGAUCACAAGAUGCAAUAAGGAAAGAUCUUGGAUUAUUGGAAAAGCUACGCUAGGGAUAACAGGCUAAUUUGCGCAAGAGUGUACAAAAUGAGUGCGCGGUUUGGCACCUCGAUGUCGGCUUAACUUAUCCUCAUGGAUGCAGAAACUAUGUAGGGUGCGACUGUUCGUCGAUUAAAAAGUUACAUGAGCUGGGUUAAAUACGUCGUGAGACAGUAUGGUUUCUAUCUUCUAGAGGGAAUUAGAAUAAAAUAAGAACGAACUUUUGUACGAAAGGAACAAGAAUGAUUUAUGCGCUAUGUAGAUAUAGCGCUAAACAAAUUAUAGUUACUAACCUAUGGUUUACCUGUUGUUUAUAUGCCUUAUUAUUAAAUAUAUAGAUAAUAUAAUAUAUUUAUUUAUUAGUAUUUCGUAAUGAAUAUUUAUAUUUAGAUCAAUACCGUACUAAUUCAGUAGUGAAAACUACUGUUAUCUAUAUAUAUGUAUAUAUUAAUAUAUACAGAGGAUGUAUCGUUCGCUAGGAUAAUAUAUAAUAUAAGCACGGCAGGAAAGCUAAGUUGGUUAAGGAUAAGUGCUGAAAGCAUAUAGGCACGAAGCUUAUCUUAAGAUAUUUCUUAAAUAUAUGUAUUAGAAUAAUACACAAUAGGUUUUCUUUGUAAGAAUCUAGAGAUUUGUAAGAUGAAAAUACUAAUUUUAUAAAUUACUAUGUAUAUAUAUAUCA
rnacentral:rRNA from 1 species